rnacentral:rRNA from 1 species
GAGUUUGAUCAUGGCUCAGGAUGAACGCUAGCGACAGGCUUAACACAUGCAAGUCGAGGGGCAGCGGGGGUAGCAAUACCCGCCGGCGACCGGCGCACGGGUGAGUAACGCGUAUGCAACUUACCUAUCAGAGGGGGAUAACCCGGCGAAAGUCGGACUAAUACCGCAUGAAGCAGGGGCCCCGCAUGGGGAUAUUUGCUAAAGAUUCAUCGCUGAUAGAUAGGCAUGCGUUCCAUUAGGCAGUUGGCGUGGUAACGGCCCACCAAACCGACGAUGGAUAGGGGUUCUGAGAGGAAGGUCCCCCACAUUGGUACUGAGACACGGACCAAACUCCUACGGGAGGCAGCAGUGAGGAAUAUUGGUCAAUGGGCGUAAGCCUGAACCAGCCAAGUCGCGUGAGGGAUGAAGGUUCUAUGGAUCGUAAACCUCUUUUAUAAGGGAAUAAAGUGCGGGACGUGUCCCGUUUUGUAUGUACCUUAUGAAUAAGGAUCGGCUAACUCCGUGCCAGCAGCCGCGGUAAUACGGAGGAUCCGAGCGUUAUCCGGAUUUAUUGGGUUUAAAGGGUGCGUAGGCGGCCUUUUAAGUCAGCGGUGAAAGUCUGUGGCUCAACCAUAGAAUUGCCGUUGAAACUGGGAGGCUUGAGUAUGUUUGAGGCAGGCGGAAUGCGUGGUGUAGCGGUGAAAUGCUUAGAUAUCACGCAGAACCCCGAUUGCGAAGGCAGCCUGCCAAGCCAUGACUGACGCUGAUGCACGAAAGCGUGGGGAUCAAACAGGAUUAGAUACCCUGGUAGUCCACGCAGUAAACGAUGAUCACUAGCUGUUUGCGAUACAGUGUAAGCGGCACAGCGAAAGCGUUAAGUGAUCCACCUGGGGAGUACGCCGGCAACGGUGAAACUCAAAGGAAUUGACGG